rnacentral:rRNA from 1 species
UACGGAGGGUGCGAGCGUUGUCCGGAAUCACUGGGCGUAAAGCGCGCGCAGGCGGUCAUCUACGUCUGGGGUGAAAGCCCGGAGCUCAACUCCGGGAUUGCCUUGGAUACGGGAUGACUUGAGGAUCGGAGAGGCAAGGGGAAUUCCACGUGUAGCGGUGAAAUGCGUAGAGAUGUGGAGGAACACCUGUGGCGAAGGCGCCUUGCUGGCCGAUUUCUGACGCUGAGGCGCGAAAGCGUGGGGAGCAAACAGG